AGUUUAUUAAGUUGGAACUGUCGAGGGCUUGGGAACCCUCAGACAGUUCGAGAGCUUCGCAAAAUUGUGACGCAAGAAGGCCCCACCCUUCUGUUCGUCAUGGAAACAAAAAUCAAGGGCAAGAGAGUGGAGGUUUUGAAGACUACAUUAGGUUUCUCUGGAUGUUUUGUCGUCGAUAGCGACGGGCUUAGUGGUGGUAUCGGUCUUUUCUGGUCUAAAGAUGUUGAUGUCUCUUUGAUAAACUAUAGCUUGUCUCACAUUGAUGUAAACGUCAAGAAAGAUAAUAAGAGUUGGCGAUUUACUGGUUUUUAUGGAGAGCCAAGGGUGAAUCGACACCACAGUUGGCAUUUCUUGCGUACUUUGGCUGAAUUACAGCAUGAAGCGUGGGUCUGUAUGGGGGAUUUCAAUGAAACGUUGCAUGCCGAAGAACAUUUUAGUGUCAACGCUCGUCUGGAGGGCCAGAUGCGAGCAUUCCAUGAAGCAAUGGCAGAUUGCGCACUCCAAGAUUUGGGGUAG
rnacentral:rRNA from 1 species